rnacentral:rRNA from 1 species
CCUACGGGAGGCAGCAGUGGGGAAUUUUGCGCAAUGGGGGCAACCCUGACGCAGCAACGCCGCGUGAGUGAUGAAGGCCUUCGGGUCGUAAAGCUCUGUCAGAGGGGAAGAAAUGCAGGUGGUGAACAACCAUUCUGUUUGACGGUACCCUCAAAGGAAGCACCGGCUAACUCCGUGCCAGCAGCCGCGGUAAUACGGAGGGUGCGAGCGUUGUUCGGAAUUAUUGGGCGUAAAGCGCGUGUAGGCGGUUUGUUAAGUCUGAGGUAAAAGCCCCGGGCUCAACCUGGGAAGUGCAUUGGAUACUGGCAGACUUGAGUACGGGAGAGGAGAGUGGAAUUCCCAGGGUAGGAGUGAAAUCCGUAGAUAUUGGGAGGAACACCGGUGGCGAAGGCAGGUUACUGGACCAUUACUGACGCUCAGAUGCGAAAGCCAGGGGAGCAAACAGGAUUAGAUCCCCUGGUAGU